rnacentral:rRNA from 1 species
AUUGAACGCUGGCGGCAGGCCUAACACAUGCAAGUCGAGCGGAUGAAGGGAGCUUGCUCCUGGAUUCAGCGGCGGACGGGUGAGUAAUGCCUAGGAAUCUGCCUGGUAGUGGGGAUAACGUCCGGAAACGGGCGCUAAUACCGCAUACGUCCUGCGGGAGAAAGUGGGGGAUCUUCGGACCUCACGCUAUCAGGUGAGCCUAGGUCGGCUUAGCUCGUUGGUGGGGUAAAGGCCUACCCAGGCGACGAUCCGUAACUGGUCUGAGAGGAUGAUCAGUCACACUGGAAGUGAGACACGGUCCAGACUCCUACGGGAGGCAGCAGCGUGGAAUAUUGGACAGUGGGCGAAAGCCCGAUCCAGGCAUGCCGCGGGUGUGAAGAAGGUCCUCGGAUUGUAAAGCACUUUAAGUUGGGAGGAAGGGCAGUAAGUUAAGACCUUGAUGUUGUGACGGUACCAACAGAAGAAGCACCGGCUAACUUCGUG